rnacentral:lncRNA from 1 species
CAGAGAGUCUGUCCCUCCCUGCUCCACACCGACCACUACUCAGCACACUGACAGAACCAGAGAGUCUAUCCCUCCCUGCUCCACACCGACCACUACUCAGCACACUGACAGAACCAGAGAGUCUAUCCCUCCCUGCUCCACACUGACCACUACUCAGCAGACUGAUAGAACCAGAGAGGCUGUUGGAACAGAAGAAGCCCUCAGUCCCUCAACAACCCCACAGACGCCUAGAACCCCUCAGAAGCCUAGAAUCCCAGAGAACCCUAGAACUCCAGAGGCUAUAAUGCUUGAGAAGCCUAGAACACUGGAGAAGCCUAGAACACUGGAGAAGCCGAGAAUCCCAGACAACCCUAGAACUCCAGAGGCUAUAAUGAUAGAGAAGCCUAGAACACUGGAGAAGCCUAGAACACUGGAGAAUCCCAGAACACUGGAGAAGCCCAGAACACUGGAGAAGCCCAGAACACUGGAGCAGCCCAGAACACUGGAGAAGCCUAGAACACUGGAGAAGCCCAGAACACUGGAGAGGCCUAGAACCCCAGAAAAGCCUAAAGUGGUUGUUCUCUCUAGGCCACUGAGAGCAGUGGUUUUAAGUUCUAGCUCUCCUGCUGAGAACAGAGAACCAGCGUUACAGAACGGAGAACACACGCCUCGACAGGAGACCACACCCUGCCUCACCAACGGCCAACUAGAGCACUCAGCGUGUGCAAACACACUCACACACUCCCCUGCUACCCCCUCCUCCACCCCCCGCAAAGAGAAGCCUCCCAUUGCCCUAAAAAACCCUAAACUAUCCCUACUGAGGACACACCAGACAGACACACCAACCCCACCACCCGUACUCACAGGUACACCUCCACAGCCCUUUGUCCCAGAGACACCACCCUUUCUGGGGAUAAAAUUGGCACAGACAGAGUCCCAGACAGAGACCCAGCCAAAGCCAAAGCCUGAAUUCCCCUUCCUGAAACGCCACCAGUCAGAAUACUAUGUAGCGGAGUUACCACCAAGGCCCUCUCCUCCAGCACCCUGUGUACCAGAGUUACCACCAAGGCCCUCUCCUCCAGCACCCUGUGUACCAGAGUUACCACCAAGGCCCUCUCCUCCAGCACCCUGUGUACCAGAGUUACCACCAAGGCCCUCUCCUCCAGCACCCUGUGUACAAAAGUUACCACCAAGGCCUUGUCCUCCAGCAUCCCGUGUAACAGAGUUACCACCAAGGCCCUCUCCUCCAGCAUCCUGUGUACCAGAGCCACAGCAGGAGUCCUGUCCACUGGAGAUGAAGACAUACACAGAGACAGAAGCAGAGACAAAGGUAGAAUGUGGCUCUGUGCCAAUCACAGAGCUGGGGAGAUCAGAACCUGAACCAGAUGAGAUAUGGGUGAUGCAGGAGGAAGAAGAGAAGGAAGAGAAAGAAGAGAGAGAGAAUGCGCACAUCACACUGAUGCUGGGGAGGAGAGAGGAGGAGGACAGACAGAGGGGAGCCAUUGAGGAGGACAGCAGAGAUUCUGGAAGUUUCUCUCUGGAAGAGAACAGAGACGCCCUUAGCAGUGCACUGUCAAUUGAAGAGGGGGAACUGGAGGAGGAGAGGAUGGAAUGGGAGAAGAGGGAACAGAGGCGCAGCCUGGAGACAGACAGGGCCAGCAGCUCCACAGGAUCCCUGAGCUCCAGAGAGGACAACGGUGAGGUGUUUGACAUUUCUUCAGCGGAGGAGAUGGUGACACCAGCACGACCGCAGACUACUGAGGACCUGUUCGCUGCCAUACACAGCAGUGCAGUCUGGGAAGGCACACACGUUUGACAACCCAGGUGUGUGGGCGUGGCGUUGACAGCAGCGGUUCGGUUCAAUGAAAUUGCGUGGGCAUGUCACACGUGGAUAUUCCAAGGAGAUGAACGACAGUAUAUUUAUUGAGACAAUGCUGAAAUAGCUGAAAACAACAAUCCAUGGGUGAAUCAGUGCCACAUUACAUUUCUUUGCAGAAAUGGAGAAGUUAUCCUGCAAAUUUAGAUGAUGUUGGUAAAUAUAAAAAUAUAUAUAAAAAAAUGUAUUGUUCUGCUCAUACCCAGGACAGAGGCUCCCGUCUGCGGCCAAGGGACUUUAUAUGUAUCCUGCACAUGGGGGAAACUGAUUGGAAGUCAAGUCAACUGAAACAUUCUGGUCUCCAGACUGGCUGUUGUUAUAGGAUGGUUGUCUCUGUUAAUAGAUUACAGGACUGUGUACAUGUUGUUUUUUGAUGUGUUGCUUCAGUCCUCUGUCUAAUUUUAGUAUGUAGCGGUAUACAGUUUGAGAUUAAUGUUAAACUGUAUAUUAAAAAUGUAUUCUGAAGUUUCAGUUACCAAAGACAACAUGUCACUCCCAGUGAAUCGGCAGCAGGGGGACAUGUCUGAGAAUGUUUCCUUGAUCGUGAUUGGCCUAUUGUUAUCAUGAUUGUGAUUGGCCUAUUGUUAUCAUGAUUGUGAUUGGCCUAUUGUUAUCAUGAUUGUGAUUGGCCUAUUGUUAUCAUGAUUGUGAUUGGCCUAUUGUUAUCAUGAUUGUGAUUGGCCUAUUGUUAUCAUGAUUGUGAUUGGCCUAUUGUUAUCAUGAUUGUGAAUGGUCCAGAAAUUGGAGGAAUGGAAUUUGCUGAAGUGAUUUAUAUUUAUAUUAUUUUAUACUUAAACCUCUUUAAAUCCUCUAUUCAUUUUUUAUUUGACUUUAAAAUAUAUAUAGAAUGUAGUAAGUACAUGCUUAACAUUGCAGAGUUCUCCUCUCAUUAUAAAGUAACUUCUGUCUCCUUUAUAUUACUGCACCUUAAUACCUGGACUUUGUACAUUUUCUGACACUUGAUUUCGGUAGAGGGCUUGUUUGUGUUUUUCUAGUCUAUUUAUUUGAAAACUGUGAAUAAAAUUGGGCCCACUGUUUAUCAGAGUUAUCACUGGUGCUAGAUAUGGGGUUUAGGGUUUAGAAGAUAGAGGUUAGAGGUUAGAGGUUAGAGGUGGAAUGUUGAGAGACUGAGUUUCUAUGGAAUAUAUGACAUAUCUAGAGUGAUGAAGUGAGGUGGAUGAGAGAGAGAGAGAGAGAGAGAGACAGAGAG